rnacentral:rRNA from 1 species
GCUUGUCUCAAAGAUUAAGCCAUGCAUGUCUAAGUAUAACUCUUUUACUUUGAAAACUGCGAACGGCUCAUUAUAUCAGUUAUAGUUUAUUUGAUGGUCCUUGCUACUUGGAUAACCGUAGUAAUUCUAGAGCUAAUACAUGCAUCAAGCCCCGACUUCUGGAAGGGGUGUAUUUAUUAGAUGGAAACCAAUGCGGGGCAACCCGGUAUAUGGUGAUUCAUAAUAACUUUCGGAUCGAUUUAUCGAUGCAUCAUUCAAGUUUCUGCCCUAUCAGCUUUGGAUGGUAGGGUAUUGGCCUACCAUGGCUUUAACGGGUAACGGAGAAUUAGGGUUCGAUUCCGGAGAGGGAGCCUGAGAAAUGGCUACCACAUCCAAGGAAGGCAGCAGG